AAUAGAUACCCGGGUAGUCCACGCCGUAAACGAUGAGUGCUAAGUGUUAGAGGGUUUCCGCCCUUUAGUGCUGCAGCUAACGCAUUAAGCACUCCGCCUGGGGAGUACGGUCGCAAGACUGAAACUCAAAGGAAUUGACGGGGGCCCGCACAAGCGGUGGAGCAUGUGGUUUAAUUCGAAGCAACGCGAAGAACCUUACCAGGUCUUGACAUCCCACUGACCGGUAUAGAGAUAUACCUUUCCCUUCGGGGACAGUGGUGACAGGUGGUGCAUGGUUGUCGUCAGCUCGUAUCGUGAGAUGUUGGGUUAAGUCCCGCAACGAGCGCAACCCUUGAUCUUAGUUGCCAGCAUUUAGUUGGGCACUCUAAGGUGACUGCCGGUGACAAACCGGAGGAAGGUGGGGAUGACGUCAAAUCAUCAUGCCCCUUAUGACCUGGGCUACACACGUGCUACAAUGGAUGGUACAAAGGGCUGCAAGACUGCGAAGUCAAGCCAAUCCCAUAAAACCAUUCUCAGUUCGGAUUGCAGG
rnacentral:rRNA from 1 species